rnacentral:sRNA from 1 species
AAUUCAAACAAGGCAAGUGAUGCAGUAUCCUAGUCGGAAUGUCUUUUUCGAAGGCGGGGCUAAAAAUCCGUUAAAGGCACAUCGAUGAAGUCCCUGGUGCUGGCUGCCGACGCCCAGUUGGGGGUUGGUACUGGGGGUUAAGAAGGUAGGGCGAGCUGCAAGGGCAUGCAGGCGUUGACCCUGCCUUCGCGGAGACCUAAGUUUGUGGAGCAGCUAUCUCUUUUGGGUAGUGAGUCUAUGGCUUGGGGUGUGAACCUGCAUGUGGUAGCAAGCUGCGUGCAGUGUAGCCCGCCUUGAGUGGUAACGGUGGAUGAGUUUUAAAAAGGCUGACUUUUAGUUAUAGGCCUAUAAGCAAAAAGUCGGUCAGACUGAAACCGUUAUUGCAAAAGAGGCUAGAAGAAGGUACACUUCGUUGAGGAAAACUCCUAGGCUGUCUGGGAAGCCAGGACAAUGCAGGAAUUACAGUAUGGACUAAGUGGUAAUCCAGUCCCAGGUGCGGCAACGUAUGGAAACAAUCUUAAAGGGAAACCGCUGGGAUGGCGACAGCCAGUGAUUGUUUGGGAAAACCUGCUGGACCUAAGCCAUAAUAUUUACCUGCGUUGUUAUCACUUGCCUGUUUUUUAUA